AAAAACAGCUUUCUGUUGUGACUGGCACACAUAGGCAUAGGGCAGCUCAUUUGUUCUAAGUGUGAAAUCGACAUCAAGAGAUUUUGGAAGCAUAAAUUUUUGACUGUUGAGCAGCAGUCUUUGGUCCCAGCACCCUU